AUUGAACGCUGGCGGCAUGCCUUACACAUGCAAGUCGAACGGCAGCACGGGGGCAACCCUGGUGGCGAGUGGCGAACGGGUGAGUAACGCAUCGGAACGUGCCCAGUAGUGGGGGAUAACCAGUCGAAAGAUUGGCUAAUACCGCAUACGACCUAAGGGUGAAAGCGGGGGACCGUAAGGCCUCGCGCUAUUGGAGCGGCCGAUGUCUGAUUAGCUAGUUGGCGGGGUAAGAGCCCACCAAGGCGACGAUCAGUAGCUGGUCUGAGAGGACGACCAGCCACACUGGGACUGAGACACGGCCCAGACUCCUACGGGAGGCAGCAGUGGGGAAUUUCGGACAAUGGGCGCAAGCCUGAUCCAGCCAUGCCGCGUGCGGGAAGAAGGCCUUCGGGUUGUAAACCGCUUUUGGCAGGAACGAAACGGCGACCCCUAAUACGGGUCGUUAAUGACGGUACCUGCAGAAUAAGCACCGGCUAACUACGUGCCAGCAGCCGCGGUAAUACGUAGGGUGCAAGCGUUAAUCGGAAUUACUGGGCGUAAAGCGUACGCAGGCGGCUUUGCAAGACAGGUGUGAAAUCCCCGGGCCUAACCUGGGAACUGCAUUUGUGACUGCAUGGCUAGAGUCUGUCAGAGGGGGGUGGAAUUCCACGUGUAGCAGUGAAAUGCGUAGAGAUGUGGAAGAACACCGAUGGCGAAGGCAGCCCCCU
rnacentral:rRNA from 1 species